rnacentral:rRNA from 1 species
UGGGGAAUAUUGCGCAAUGGGCGAAAGCCUGACGCAGCGACGCCGCGUGAGGGAAGAAGGCCCUAUGGGUCGUAAACCUCUUUUGUCAGGGAACAAAAGCGAGUAUGUAUACUGGUCUGAGUGUACCUGAAGAAAAAGCAUCGGCUAACUCCGUGCCAGCAGCCGCGGUAAUACGGAGGAUGCGAGCGUUAUCCGGAUUUAUUGGGUUUAAAGGGUGCGUAGGCGGCGGUGCAAGUCAGCGGUAAAAGCCCGGGCUCGAACCUCGGCGAGCCGUUGAAACUGGCGGACUAGAGACGGUGAGAGGUAUGCGGAAUGCGCAGUGUAGCGGUGAAAUGCAUAGAUAUUGCGCAGAACUCCGAUUGCGAAGGCAGCAUACCGGUGCCGGACUGACGCUGAGGCACGAAAGCGUGGGAGUCAAACAGGAUUAGAUACC